AUGGGGGUGCUGCGGAGGCGGUGGGCUGUUCCCCUCCUGUGGGCGGCGCUUCUUGCGGUCGCGCUGCUGGGCGGCGCCCGCGGCUCCGGGGACGGCGCCGCGGUGUACAUUGUGACCAUGAAGCAGGUGCCGGUGUCCCACAAGCGCCUCGACCUGGAGAGUUUUGGGAGCAGCGGGGUUGCCGGCGGCGGCGGCGGCGGAAAAGGGGAUAACCCGGCCACCAGCAUUCUCAGGAAGCCGAGGCAUGCUUCACCCAAAUUUGUGAAUUAUGGCUCACUCCUAGUGCGCCUUCAAAAUUCGCUCCUGAAGAAGACACUAAGAGGAGAGCACUAUAUAAAAUUGUACAGUUACCACUACUUGAUCAAUGGUUUUGCUGUUGUCCUCACUCCUCAGCAGGCAGAGAAGCUAAAUAGGAGAAAAGAAGUGGCAAAUAUAAUGUUGGAUUUCUCUGUUAGGACGGCAACAACUUAUACCCCCGAAUUCCUUGGCCUGCCAGAAGGUGCAUGGGUGCAAGAUGGUGGUCCCCAAUGUGCUGGCCAGGGUGUUGUUGUGGGCCUCAUUGAUACAGGAAUCGACCCAAAUCACCCUAGCUUUGCAGAUGACUUGACAGCUGACAAUUAUCCAGUUCCUGCUCACUACUCCGGUAAUUGUGAGGUUACAAGUGAUUUUCCAUCUGGGUCCUGCAACAGAAAGCUUGUUGGAGCUCGACAUUUUGCAGCAUCUGCAAUAACCCGAGGAGUCUUCAAUGCCUCUCAAGAUCUUGCUUCACCAUCUGAUAGUGAUGGCCAUGGGACCCACACAGCAUCCAUCGCUGCUGGUAAUCAUGGCAUACCUGUUAUUGUGGCUGGGCAUCACUUUGGGGAUGCAAGUGGAAUGGCUCCUCGUGCACACAUCGCUGUCUAUAAAGCGCUGUACAAAGGUUUUGGAGGUUUUGCUGCUGAUGUAGUGGCUGCAAUAGAUCAGGCAGCUGAAGAUAAUGUCGACAUAAUCAGUUUAUCUAUUACCCCUAAUAGGAGGCCUCCUGGAUUGGCUACAUUCUUUAAUCCAAUUGAUAUGGCACUAAUGUCAGCUGUGAAAGAUGGCAUAUUUGUUGUGCAAGCUGCAGGAAAUACCGGUCCUUCCCCUAAGAGCAUGUCUUCAUACAGUCCAUGGAUUUUUACUGUAGGCGCUUCUGCCCAUGACAGGGAGUACAACAACUAUGUUGUACUUGGCAACAAUUUGACCAUUUCAGGAGUUGGUCUUGCUCCUGGAACAGAUGGUGAUUCCAUGUACAAUCUGAUUGCUGCACCUCAUGCACUGCAAAAUUAUACCACCACUCCUAUUGAAAUGUCCCUAGGAGAGUGCCAAGAUCCAAGUCAUCUAGAUAAAGAUCUGAUAAAGGGGAAGAUACUGGUCUGCAGCUAUUCCAUAAGAUUUGUGCUUGGCCUCUCUUCUGUGAAGCAAGCUUUGGAUACAGCAAAGAAUGUCAGUGCUGCAGGAGUUAUAUUUUACUUGGAUCCUUUUGUCCUUGGUUUCCAGCUGAACCCAACUCCAAUGGACAUACCUGGACUUAUAAUACCAUCACCUGAUGACUCUAAGAUAUUCCUAAGUUAUUACAACGAUUCGCUUGUACGAGAUGGGACGUCAGACAAAGUUGUCAACUUCGGUGCAGUUGCGAAAAUACUAGGAGGUCUGAAGCCAAAUUAUGGUAGUUCGGCACCAAAAGUGAUGUUUUAUUCUGCUAGGGGGCCUGACCCUGAGGAUAAUACAUUGGCCAAUGCUGAUAUCUUGAAACCAAAUGUGGUAGCACCUGGCAGUUCCAUUUGGGGUGCUUGGAAUUCGCGUGGAUUGGAUUCUGCUGAAUUUACCGGUGAAAGUUUUGCGAUGCUCUCUGGUACAAGUAUGGCUGCACCACACAUUGCUGGCCUUGCGGCGCUAAUCAAGCAGAAGUUUCCUUCUUUUAGUCCAGCAGCUAUAGGUUCCGCGCUGUCUACUACCACAAUUCUCAGUGACAAGCAGGGGAAUCCAAUCAUGUCACAGCGAACAUACAGCAACCCAGACUCCACACAAACUCCAGCUACACCUUUUGACAUGGGGAAUGGGUUUGCCAAUGCCACUGCUGCUUUGGACCCUGGGCUCAUAUUUGAUUGCAGUUACGAUGACUACCUCUCCUUUCUGUGUGGUAUAAAUGGUUCUGCUCCAGUAGUGGCGAACUACACCGGCAACAGCUGCGGGGCCUCCACCAUGACCGGAGCAGACCUGAACCUGCCGUCGAUCACCAUAGCCGUGCUCAACCAGUCGAGAACAAUAACAAGAACGGUCACCAACGUGGCGAGCGACGAGAACUACACGGUCAGUUGCAACGCCCCCUACGGGGCGGCGGCGUCCGUGGCACCGGCUCAGUUCUUCAUCCCCAGCGGGCAGAAGCAGCUCGUGACCUUCGUCGUGAACGCCACCAUGACCAACUCUUCGGUGAGCUUCGGGGACGUCGAGUUCUACGGGGACAAAGGUCACCGGGUGGUCAUUCCGUUCACGGUCAUGUCUAAGGCUGUGUAG
rnacentral:rRNA from 1 species